rnacentral:rRNA from 1 species
AUUGAACGCUGGCGGCAUGCUUUACACAUGCAAGUCGAACGGUAACAGGCCGCAAGGUGCUGACGAGUGGCGAACGGGUGAGUAAUGCAUCGGAACGUGCCCAGUCGUGGGGGAUAACUACUCGAAAGAGUAGCUAAUACCGCAUAAGAUCUAUGGAUGAAAGCGGGGGACCGUAAGGCCUCGCGCGAUUGGAGCGGCCGAUGUCAGAUUAGGUAGUUGGUGGGGUAAAGGCUCACCAAGCCAACGAUCUGUAGCUGGUCUGAGAGGACGACCAGCCACACUGGGACUGAGACACGGCCCAGACUCCUACGGGAGGCAGCAGUGGGGAAUUUUGGACAAUGGGCGCAAGCCUGAUCCAGCAAUGCCGCGUGCAGGAAGAAGGCCUUCGGGUUGUAAACUGCUUUUGUACGGAACGAAACGGUUCUGGUUAAUACCCGGGGCUAAUGACGGUACCGUAAGAAUAAGCACCGGCUAACUACGUG